rnacentral:rRNA from 1 species
UACAGAGGUCCCAAGCGUUGUUCGGAUUCACUGGGCGUAAAGGGUGCGCAGGUGGCGCUUCAAGUUUGAUGUGAAAGCCCCGGGCUCAACCCGGGAAUGGCAUUGAAUACUGGGGCGCUGGAGGGUUGGAGGGGGGACUGGAAUUCUCGGUGUAGCAGUGAAAUGCGUAGAUAUCGAGAGGAACACCAGUGGCGAAGGCGGGUCCCUGGACAACACCUGACACUGAGGCACGAAAGCUAGGGGAGCAAACAGGAUUAGAUACCCUGGUAGUCCUAGCCCUAAACGGUGCGCGUUUGCUGUGGGAGGAAUCGACCCCUUCCGUGGCGAAGCCAACGCGAUAAACGCGCCGCCUGGGGAGUACGGUCGCAAGAUUA